rnacentral:rRNA from 1 species
CUACCAUGCAGUCGACGGGACUAAGACUGACACCAGAUAUUCAGGGCAGCUGGUGGGGAAGAAAGAGCCAGUGAAGGUGAAUGGCUGGUGUUGGUUUUAGUUCAGUGGCGGACGGGUGAGUAACGCGUGAGUAACCUGCCUUUCAGAGGGGGAUAGCGUCUGGAAACGGACGGUAAUACCGCAUGACAUUCCGGUGCUGCAUGGUACUGGAAUCAAAGGAGCAAUCCGCUGGAAGAUGGACUCGCGUCCGAUUAGCCAGUUGGUGAGGUAACGGCCCACCAAAGCGACGAUCGGUAGCCGGACUGAGAGGUUGAACGGCCACAUUGGGACUGAGACACGGCCCAGACUCCUACGGGAGGCAGCAGUGGGGGAUAUUGCACAAUGGAGGAAACUCUGAUGCAGCAACGCCGCGUGAAGGAAGACGGUCUUCGGAUUGUAAACUUAUGUCCUCAGGGACGAUAAUGACGGUACCUGAGGAGGAAGCUCCGGCUAACUACGUGCCAGCAGCCGCGGUAAUACGUAGGGAGCGAGCGUUGUCCGGAUUUACUGGGUGUAAAGGGUGCGUAGGCGGCUGUUUAAGUCAGGUGUGAAAGACCGGGGCUCAACUCCGGGGUGGCACUUGAAACUGGGUUUCUUGAGGGCAGGAGAGGGAAGCAGAAUUCCUGGUGUAGCGGUGAAAUGCGUAGAAAUCAGGAGGAAUACCAGUGGCGAAGGCGGCUUUCUGGACUGACCCUGACGCU